GAGUUAAGGGUCUCCGGCCCGAACCUCCAACCCUCUGUCGUUAUAACUACCUCGUUGCUUUGGCGGGACCGCGAAGGUUCUCCCGAGCGCGCCAGUCUUCGGACAGGCGAGCGCCCGCCAGAGUCCAACCAAACUCUUGUUUUAAACCAGUCGUCUGAGUAUAAAAUUUUAAUAUAAUUAAAACUUUCAACAACGGAUCUCUUGGUUCU
rnacentral:misc_RNA from 1 species